rnacentral:tRNA from 1 species
GGGGUUGUGGCUCAGCGGUAGAGUGUUCACCUCACCCGUGCGGGACCCUGGGUUCGAUCUUCAGCACCACA